UGAACGUGUAAAGGGAGCGACUGUAUAAGAUCCUUGCGCGGGGCACACCUUCACAGUCACGCACCUGCUGGGAAACAGAGAAGAUAUUUCCCUGCGCGCCACAUCCCGAGCUUGCAACGCUUACCGCUGAUCUCCAGUCUCAGUUCUGCCGCUCCUCACAAUGAAGUCCAUAUUGUAUGCUGCCAUCUUCACCCUGGUUCUCGUUGCCAUGGUUGCAGGUCAGACCUCGAACGCAACAGUUUCGAGUUCAACUGUCACGGCCAGUAGCACCGGUUCCCACAGCCUCCACAUCGUCGAUCAGCUCAUCAACCAUUCGCGCCACUACUCAGGGACAACCCGGUGGUUCACCAUUGCUGAAACCAGAAAUGGCAAUUCUAGCUUUCUUUGGCAGUCUUGCGGUCUUCCUGGUGUAGCGAAGCUUCAAAUCUUCAUUUCCUUCAUAUCAAAAGUGUUCUUAAAAUGU
rnacentral:misc_RNA from 1 species